UACGGAGGGUGCAAGCGUUGUUCGGAAUUACUGGGCGUAAAGCGCGUGUAGGCGGCCGAUUAAGUCUGGUGUGAAAUCCCGGGGCUCAACCCCGGGCUUGCAGUGGAUACGGGCUGGCUGGAGGCAGGCAGGGGAGAACGGAAUUCCCGGUGUAGCGGUGAAAUGCGCAGAUAUCAGGAAGAACACCCGUGGCGAAGGCGGCUCUCUGGAACGCAACUGACGCUGAGACGCGAAAGCGUGGGGAGCAAACAGG
rnacentral:rRNA from 1 species